CUUUACUGUAGCCUGGUAUUGGGUUCGGGCUUUGACUGCGCAGGAUAGGUGGGAGACUGAGAAGUGUGCCUUGUGGGGCACAUAGAGUCAACGGUGAGAUACCACUCUGUCAAGGCUAGAAUUCUAACGGUUCGCCGUCAUCCGGCAACCGAACAGUAACAGGGGGGCAGUUUGACUGGGGCGGUCGCCUCCUAAAAGGUAACGGAGGCGCGCAAAGGUGUUCUCAGGCUGGUUGGAAAUCAGCCGUAGAGUGUAAAGGCAGAAGAACGCUUGACUGUGAGAGUGACAACUCAAGCAGGGUGGAAACACGGCCUUAGUGAUCCGACGGUAUGCGCGUGGAAGUGCCGUCGCUCAACGGAUAAAAGUUA
rnacentral:rRNA from 1 species